GCAUGGGUUUGGAUUUAUGGCAGGCCUGUCCCCCUGAGCCUCUCAUAGUGUCCCACACCAGAGCAAACUGUAGCCCCGAACCAUUGCCUGUCCUUGUCCAUUGGCCUUGGCACUGAAGUGGGUUGCACGGUG
rnacentral:snoRNA from 1 species